rnacentral:rRNA from 1 species
UAGGAUUUAUAUUGAAGGUAAGUUCUGCCCUAUGAUUAAUUUUAAAUGGCUGCAGUAUAUUGACUGUGCAAAGGUAGCAUAAUAAUUAGUCUUUUAAUUGAAGGCUUGUAUGAAUGAAUUCAUGAGAAGUUUAUUUUAUUAUAAUUAUGUUUUGAAUUUAAUUUUUGAGUAAAAAAGCUUAAUUUAUUUUUUGGGACGAUAAGACCCUAUAGAACUUGAAUUUUUAUAAUAUAAUAAUUUUAUAGUUUAUUUAUUUUUUUUAUUUUAUGUAAAAAUUUUUAUUGGGGUGAUAAAUAAAUNNGACUUUAUUUAAAAAUUUCAUANUGAGUGUUUUUUUGAUCCGUUAUUUGAUAAUAAGAUAAAGNUACCUUAGGGAUNACAGCGUAAUUNNUAUGGGGAGUUCAUAUUUAUAUNNAAGNNNGCGACCUCNAUGUNGAANUAA